GACGAACGCUGGCGGCGUGCUUAACACAUGCAAGUCGAACGGAAAGGCCCUGCUUGCAGGGUACUCGAGUGGCGAACGGGUGAGUAACACGUGGGUGAUCUGCCCUGCACUUCGGGAUAAGCCUGGGAAACUGGGUCUAAUACCGGAUAGGAGCCAUUUUUAGUGUGAUGGUUGGAAAGUUUUUUCGGUGUAGGAUGAGCUCGCGGCCUAUCAGCUUGUUGGUGGGGUAAUGGCCUACCAAGGCGGCGACGGGUAGCCGGCCUGAGAGGGUGGACGGCCACAUUAGGACUGAGAUACGGCCCAGACUCCUACGGGAGGCAGCAGUGGGGAAUAUUGCACAAUGGGCGCAAGCCUGAUGCAGCGACGCCGCGUGGGGGAUGACGGCCUUCGGGUUGUAAACUCCUUUCGCUAGGGACGAAGCUUUUUGUGACGGUACCUAGAUAAGAAGCACCGGCUAACUACGUG
rnacentral:rRNA from 1 species